rnacentral:rRNA from 1 species
ACGUAGGGGGCAAGCGUUGUCCGGAUUUACUGGGUGUAAAGGGCGCGUAGGCGGAUUUGUAAGUCAGUGGUGAAAGCCUGUAGCUUAACUACAGAACUGCCUCUGAUACUGCAUAUCUUGAGUUCGGAAGAGAGAAGCGGAAUUCCAGGUGUAGUAGUGAAAUACGUAGAUAUCUGGAAGAACACCAGUGGCGAAGGCGGCUUCUUGGUCCGUAACUGACGCUGAGGCGCGAAAGCGUGGGGAGCAAACAG